UCAUUGUUUUUGUACUACAGAGGAUAGAAAAUUAUACAUGUGGGGAAAAAAUUCCAGUCAGAUGAUUGUGAUGAUAAAAACAGUAGAUAUUUCCACUUUGAACCUCAACUUGUGUCCUUGGGAAUAUGGAAAGCUUUAAAAGUUUCUGUUGGAUCUUGGCAUGUUGCGUGUGUAGUAUCUGCCUCUCUCUUAAACAACGCAAGUAAUGACCGUGAGCUUUGCUACAAAACAAGUGACACAGUCUCCCUUACUUCUUCAAUUGAAGCUUGUGUUGUUUCGCUACUUUGCUCUAAGCCAAUCCAAGACUGCCUAAAUUCUGUUGAUAAUACAUUGCCUACCGAUAAUGAAAUGAAUUUGAGUCAAAGAGAGGAGCGCCAGAGUUAUGAU